UACGUAGGUGGCAAGCGUUACUCGGAAUCACUAGGCGUAAAGCGCACGUAGGAGGUUUGAUAAGUCUGUUGUGAAAGCUCCCGGCUUAACUGGGAGAGGUCAACGGAAACUAUUAGGCUAGAGUGCGGUAGAGGUAGCUGGAAUUCCCGGUGUAGCGGUGAAAUGCGUAGAUAUCGGGAGGAAUACCUAUGGCGAAAGCAGGCUACUGGACCGUCACUGACUCUGAUCUGCGAAAGCUAGGGGAGCAAACAGG
rnacentral:rRNA from 1 species